AUUGAACGCUGGCGGCAGGCCUAACACAUGCAAGUCGAGCGGAUGAAGGGAGCUUGCUCCUGGAUUCAGCGGCGGACGGGUGAGUAAUGCCUAGGAAUCUGCCUGGUAGUGGGGGAUAACGUCCGGAAACGGGCGCUAAUACCGCAUACGUCCUGAGGGAGAAAGUGGGGGAUCUUCGGACCUCACGCUAUCAGAUGAGCCUAGGUCGGAUUAGCUAGUUGGUGGGGUAAAGGCCUACCAAGGCGACGAUCCGUAACUGGUCUGAGAGGAUGAUCAGUCACACUGGAACUGAGACACGGUCCAGACUCCUACGGGAGGCAGCAGUGGGGAAUAUUGGACAGUGGGCGAGAGCCUGAUCCAGCCGUGCCGCGUGUGUGAAGAAGGUCUUCGGAUUGUAAAGCACUUUAAGUUGGGAGGAAGGGCAGUAAGUUAAUACCUUGCUGUUUUGACGUUACCAACAGAAUAAGCACCGGCUAACUUCGUG
rnacentral:rRNA from 1 species